ACUGCAGCCUGAACCCUACCUCCACCACUGUAUGCUGGUGUCUACUAUGGGUUUACUGACGAAAGAAGUAGUAGCUCAAAAGGAAAUCAUGUAUGCAGAGGAAUUGCUCCUAGACUAUUGUAGAGUGUAUCCUAGCAUAUACGACAGACGAUCAAUGUUCAUCUCCUGCGACAUCUGCCACAUUUAUGAGACUAUAUGGACCUCUCUUCCAUUUUUCGAACUUCGGCUUCGAGUCGAUGAAUUCAGCACUGAAAAGCAUGAUCCAUGGCAGUUGACACAUAAAUAGUCAGAUUUCCUUUGCCGUUGGAGUGACGAAAUCUCUUCCAAACUUGCUGAAAAAACUCACCAUCACCUUGGAAGACAGGAA